rnacentral:rRNA from 1 species
AGAGUUUGAUCCGGCUCAGGACGAACGCUGGCGGCGUGCUUAACACAUGAGUCGAACGGAGAUUCAGCAAUGGAUCUUAGUGGCGAACGGGUGAGUAACGCGUAGGCAAUCUGCCUUCUAGAUGGGGACAACAUCCCGAAAGGGGUGCUAAUACCGAAUGUUGUAGUAUUUCCGCAUGGAGAUGCUACUAAAGGUGGCCUCUGAAUAUGCUACCGCUAGAAGAUGAGCCUGCGUCUGAUUAGCUAGUUGGAGGGGUAACGGCCCACCAAGGCUUCGAUCAGUAGCCGGUCUGAGAGGAUGAACGGCCACACUGGGACUGAGACACGGUCCAGACUCCUACGGGAGGCAGCAGUGGGGAAUUUUGCGCAAUGGGCGAAAGCCUGACGCAGCAACGCCGCGUGAGUGAUGAAGGCUUUCGGGUCGUAAAGCUCUGUCAAGGGGAAAGAAGUGUAUUGCGGUUAAUACCCGCGAUACUUGACGGUACCCCUAAAGGAAGCACCGGCUAACUCCGUGCCAGCAGCCGCGGUAAUACGGAGGGUGCGAGCGUUGUUCGGAAUUAUUGGGCGUAAAGCGCGUGUAGGCGGUUUGUUAAGUCUGAUGUGAAAGCCCCGGGCUCAACCUGGGAAGUGCAUUGGAUACUGGCAGACUUGAAUACGGGAGAGGGCAGUGGAAUUCCUGGUGUAGGAGUGAAAUCCGUAGAUAUCAGGAGGAACACCGGUGGCGAAGCGGCUGCCUGGACCGAUAUU